CGCAGAGAGAGAAAGCAACUCCAAUUUUUACUUUUCUCUCUCUUUCUUUCUCGCUCACAACUGGGGCACGAACGAAACGAAACGAAACGAACGAACGAAGACUCCACUUUGGUCUUGCAAAGUCCUUCCCAACCGAAAUUCAAAUCCCCCUUCCAGGCUUCCCCUCUCAAUUAGGGUUAGGGUUUCCCAAACUCCGCCAAGCUGGAUAGGUACAGAGUAGACCGCUAUGGCCACAACAACGACGACGACGCCCCUGACUACCGUCGUCCCUCUCUCUUCUCCGACGCCCCCGUCAACCCUCAGCCCCACCUCCCUCGCCGCAGCCCCCCUAACUACCGCGGCGCCGGCGCCGCCCGUGGCUUCGACAGUCCGCCUCUUCACUCUCCCGCAGGAGGAUUCCAGCCAUUGAUGCCCGCCGCCGGUGCCGGAGGGUUUCGCCCUUCCCACCCCGACCCUCCGCCGCUCUCCGGUCAGAAACGAGGCCAUCCUUUCUCUGCCCGUGGUGGCUCUCCAGAUCGUUUUGAUAGAGGAGGGUUUGCCAAGCUUUUCGUUGGAUCAGUUCCGAGGACAGCCACUGAGGGAGAGAUUCGCCCUUUGUUUGAAGAACAUGGAGAAGUGGUAGAGGUUGCGCUGAUCAAAGACAAGAAAACAGGACUGCAGCAAGGUUGUUGUUUUAUUAAAUAUGCAACCUCAGAAGAAGCUGAUAGGGCCAUUAGAGCUUUGCAUAAUCAACAUACUCUUCCUGGGGGAGUAGGUCCUAUCCAAGUCAGAUAUGCUGAUGGGGAACGAGAACGCCUUGGUGCAGUUGAGUACAAACUGUUUGUGGGCUCACUGAACAAACAAGCUACGGAAAAGGAAGUUGAGGAAAUUUUUUCACCAUAUGGUCUAGUUGAAGAUGUUUACCUCAUGCGUGAUGAAUUGAAGCAGAGUCGUGGAUGUGGAUUCGUUAAGUAUUCCCGCCGAGAUAUGGCGUUGUCAGCAAUAAAUGGUCUAAACGGGCGCUACACUAUGAGAGGUUGUGAGCAACCACUAACUGUCCGGUUUGCUGAUCCUAAAAGGCCUAGGCCUGGAGAAUCAAGGGGUCCUUCUUUUGGAGGUCCAGGUUUUGGUCCUCGGUUUCAAAGCCCAGGGGCCAGACCAGUACCUAACUUUGGUGAUCCUACGAGUGAUCAAAUUCCAACCAAUGCUUGGCAUCCAAUUAGUCCACCAAACUUGGUGCCAUCCCCCAAUCCUGGUAUUCGUGGCUUCGGGGCCCAUUUGCUUCCUAGGUCUGGAGACAUGGGACCCUUUAAUUCGGGCGGCCAUGGCAGCUCUGUAGAGGGUCCUCAUCCUGUGAUGGCAGUUUCAUCUCAAACAACACAGCAGAAUCUUAACCAGUCGAUGCCACAUAUGGGCCAGCAAAUUUCCCCAUUACAGAAGCAUAAUCAGUCACCUCAGCAUUUGCCGCCUUCCCUUCAUCAGCACCCUCAAACUCCAGCACCCUACGCACUCACACAAACAGCACGGCAGGUUGGUCAACCACAGCUUCCUCCUUCUGCUGGCCAAACACCAUUUAAUCAAGCUUUACCAUCACAAAGGUUACAUGGGUUGGGCGGACAGCUGUCGGCCUCUCAGCCUGAGGUCCAGCAGAAUGCAUCAUCUGCUCCUGCAUUACCAACCCUUUUGAAUAUCAACUUAAAAUCCCAUUCGAUGUCCGCAACAAAUCAACAGCAACGUCCUUCUGCUCCUGUUCAACAACAACUUCAAACGCUUCAGCAGUCUCCUUCUCAGUUAGCUCAGAUGCUGUCGCAACAGACACAAACUUUGCAGGCAAGCUUUCAAUCGUCUCAGCAGGCGUUCUCGCAGCUGCAACAACAGGUGCAGCAAAUGCAACCAUCAAAUCAGGGUCUGUCGCUGCAUCAGACUUCCCAGUCCAAUAAACAGCAGCAGUCUCAAUGGAAUGGAAUAGUACCACAGACAGUUGCAAAUACCCCUGCUACAACACCAGCUGCAGAUGUGCUUUCAGCCACAUCUGUUGCUCCUGCUAUACCUGUAACAAACCAGACUAUAACUCCUGCAAAAUGUAUUUGGACAGAGCACACCUCCCCGGAUGGAUACAAGUACUAUUAUAAUAGUGCAACUGGUGAAAGCAGGUGGGAAAAACCUGCCGAACUUGCAUUGUUUGAGCAACAGCAGCACCACCAAAAGACAUCAGUUCAGCAGCCUCAGACCCCUUCACUACCUCAAAAUGUAUCUGCGCAGCAGCAAGCUUCUCAAACACAACAGAUGCAUCUUCAAUCUCAUCUUCAUCCACAGCCUCGGCCCAAUCUUCAGUCUCAACAGCCAUCUUUGUCUUCAACGUACCAGGCUUCUGGAAUUGUAGGCCAACAAAAUGCUCAGGACUUCGGAUUUUCAAAGUUACCCCCAACAACCAGCUCAGUUAGUGAUCCUCGCUUCCAACAGGGGCUUCAUUCUGCUCAGGAAUGGAUGUGGAAGAACAAGCCAACAGGUUCUAUUUAAUUUUUCUGAUCCUGCUUUAUGUUCCCCUUAAAACCAUGGGCUUUACUGCUUCAUUUAUGGUGCUUGAAGUGGUUGAGCAGAGUUCAAGGUGUCACAUGGGCAUAGGAAUUGAUGCUUGGAGAGAGGUAGAUGAAGGAGAGGGUGUUGUCGUUGUCAUCAAUCUUGAUAGCAAGGCAGUAAGGUCUUUGAGCUUGAAAAUGCCAAAUUGGAUUUAUGAGGGGAAUAUUUCCUUCAGGCAUUCGGUUUCUUUUGCAUGAGCUUCGACUGUUUAUAGUUACUGGCUCGCUAAGUUAAACACUUGUGCCAUAGUAUUGGGCAAGAAAUUGCCUGAAAUGAGUUGUAGGAUGUAACUCUCGUGUAACAUAGAAUCUAACAGUGGUAAUAUCUAGUAUAGCUGUAUUAAGAAGGCAGGUUGGCAAUUCAUUGAAGGGCUGCAUGCCUUUCAAUUUUUCCAGACAUUGAGAAUUGCCAGUUGCCCCACCCUUUGAGGAAA